UGUGGUCAUCCAUUUGUUUCAUGUUAUAUCUUCGUAACUUCAGCAUUUAAGAAAAUUCUGGUGUUUAUCAAGGAUGCCUGCACCCUUUUGUCCCUUCUCUGGCUUCUUUUUCUCUGAGCAUUGAUGAGUAAACCAAAAAAGAACUCAUGGGAUCUUCUAUAUGCUUUUUUGUUAAAUGCAGGAUUCUGUGUCUACUUUUUCUUUGCCUUCUUUCAUUAGCAAGGCCAUGUUCGAGUUCAUCGUCAUAAAAAAAAAGUGAUACUUUAUUUCACAAUUUAUAAUAUAUUUGUGUUUUUGUUCUUUUUAAGACCUUUGGUAACCUUUUUUCGGAAUCUGUAAAUGAUCAACAUUUCCAAAUGUUGAAAUCUUAUAGACUUACUGUAAAUGGUAUGUAUCCUUGCUGAUCAAAAUGCCAUUUCUUCGUUAUUUAUUUAAUUAUAUUCUUUUUUUUUUACUUAUAUACUUGAUAUCUUUUAGUUUUUUUAAUGCAAUAUUCUUAUUUGGUUUAUUGAGUUUUUCAUGAUAUUAAAUGUUGAUAUAUUCGGAAUAUUUAGCAGGAAUGCUAUAAGAGCACAUCUUGUAGAUAUGAAUAUCUGCAUGCUGUGUGAACAACAUAUGGUUUGAUUUUCAAGUGGCCCUACAUCUAGUGGUAUGUCAGAGGUGUGGGUGUGAUCAUGGCUCUGUUCAAGCUGCAAAAGGCCCUACUCAACAUGCAUGUGUAAAUUUAUUACUGCACAAUGUAGCAUUUUGAUAUUAUCUUGUUGCCAUCUAGCUGAACUGGCAAAAUGAGUUAUUGAACUAUUUUCAAGACUAGAACCCAGUGUACUGGGAAAACCAAUUGAUAAAGUUGAUAAAAUGAUGAUGAUCUGAAGGGAGUUUUUUCAGUUUAUUGUCAGGUCUGGCUUGAACCGUAAUAUAACAGUAUCAUUUUGCAGGUCUUCUGACUCUUGUGACCUCAAGGAAUCCUUGCAAUCAGCGGUAUGCAUUGAAUAAGCCAAAUUCAGAUUUCUUUAAAUGCCCCAUCACAUUUAAAGCUUCUUAGGUCCUGUUUAUGCAAGCAUAGGGGGCUACAGUUCCAACAACUACUGUAUGAUGGUCCCAUGGUCUCUUGGUAGGAGGGUUGUGACAUAUUCAGCAUAAUGUCCUGCUAAAUGUACUGAUUUUCUUAUUGCCUGACCACCUUGCAAACACCCAACGGAAGACCGCAGUCAAAUGGUAUUCAGUUUUCAUGAGUGCUUUCUGUAUCUUAUUUUUGAAUUCAAAAUCACGUCAAGUAUGUUUUUUUUUUUUUUUUUUUUAAUGUCUUGAGAAGGGUAUAUUAUUGAUGAAAUUAUCCAUGGUGAGCUCACAUGUUCCUUGCAUCUGAUUCUGUUAAGUUUGUAGCUUAUCUGAGAAAGGGAAAUCAGGUUUGAUGGAUAUGCAGGUCUUCAUCUGGCAGAACCAUACCUAUUUUUCAUACAAUGAAACUUAUUUAAUUCAACAUCUGAAUUCCACUGACACGCUAACGCAAAUUCAUGGUUCACCUUGUUUCCAGCAGAUUGGGUGCAUCACAGGAUGCCAUAAGUUUGUCAUAGCCAAUUGUGUACCAGAUGGCUGUUUGUCAAGAUAAUCGGAGUGUGACAUGGACAUUGGCAAUCUUGAUUUGUGAAUUAUUCUUACAUAAUAACAGGAUAUGCUGGAUGGAUGGAUAAAUUGUCGUUAGUUGAUAAAGGUAGCGGUCUUGCAGCAUACAAUUAGAUGUGCUUAGCUAGCUGGGAUGUGUCCAAAUUAUGAUGCGAGUGAAACUCAAGUGACCUCCAUACGGUCCUGGCUUUUUGAGGUAUUUAAUUCCUGUCUAACGAGACAAACUCUAGAUAAUUGAGAUCUUCCAGUAGUGGUAAGGGUGGUCAUCAACAUCCUUAAGCUAGUGCGUGCCUACCGAAGGAAUCCGACCGAAAACUAAAUGGGGCAAGGUGGAAUACCUUGAAGUUGCAAGGUGCUGUAAACCUGUGGAUACAAUCAUCCCAUAUAUUUUCUUUGCUUAUUCAAUUGGCUGUCUAUUUCAAAUACUGGAGAUUUGCAUUAUUGUGGUGGAUAGGCUCGUCGGCUCAUAAUUUCCGGUGUUGUGACGGUUCUGAUUGUGGGGUUAGUGACCAACUUCUGUUAAUAGCUGAUAGCGGUAAUCUGGAGAAAAUGAUGGCAUCGACCAAGUCAGGCUGUUGCUGUGGUUGGAAGAGACAAUCAAGGUGAAUUCUAAGGGAUAAAAAUUGAUAAGGAAAAGCUUGACGUCUUAUAUGUGUUGAAGAACAAAAACUAAAUCCUGCAAAGCAUUAUAUGUUCAUGAUCACUUGUCCAUCAUUGCGAUAUACUUAAGAUGGAAAUGAACUUAUGUAGGCUAUCAGAAUUGUUGGCUAUAUGCUUUGCCAGGAUUAAAACAUGGCUUAGGAAUGGCAUAUCAUGGAUGGUGUAUUCGAGCUUCACAUUGAACAUGAUGUUUAUUCAGGAUUACAAGAGAAUUUAGUGGUUCAAUGAAAAUGAAAGAUGGAUCCCAAGGGUGGAGAAUUCUGAUGGUGGUGAAGGCGAUGGCACGCGGCAAGGAGGUGCGGAAAAUGCAAAAAUGAAAGCAAGAUAUAGCAGAAAUUAUGGGGCUUGGUGGUGGCAAAAUUGUCGCGCGUGAAUCCAAGCAAUCUUUUGAGGACAAAAAAGUCUAGCUUGCAACCCUGACUGUGGAUCAAAAAGAAAAAAAUCUUUUGAAGACUGAAAACCUACUACCGUGUAGCCAAAAAUUUUACUGGAUUUUUUUUGACACCUUUUAGGAUUUUAAUGUAAUAAGUUUCGAAAUAAUAAAGGGCACAGCAAUCAGAGGCUCUGCAAAGGAUAGCCAGAUGGGUAUCAGCAUGCUCGAGACCCAAUGCUGGUACCAAGUAACAACCUUGUGAUGCUUCUGCACUCAGUUAUCCAGUUGAGUUAAUAAGUUGCCUGUGGUGGUGGACCCAGCCAUGGGACCAAAUUAAUCUCUGAUCAGCAUUAUGCCUUCAGUGACCGUAUGGGCCUUUCUCUGUUGCUGGUCUAAAGAUACUGUGGCAAAGGGAACCGACAUGAAUCUUGUGUUUAUCUCUUCUCACAUGAUUCCACUAUAUAUAUUUAGAAAUGGUUUUAUUAGUAAGCAAUAAUUCCCUUGCAACAGCCUUGAGGUAAAGAAGAGGUUGGUUGUACAUAUCCCAUUCAGCGAAAGGCCCACCGUAUCAUCUGACUUGUCCCUUUACAGAUUGAAUGUUUUAACGGAGUCAUCGACGCGCUGAGAUGCUGGGCCCUGUACAUUGGACUCAUUGAAUACUGGUGAGUUGUGCGAGGGUCUUCCAACAGCCGCCUCCACGGGAACGUGUCAGAGUCCUCAUGCCGUGGAGGAGCCAUACAGUGAUGUAUGCAGCCGUUUGGGGUGCUUAUACUGGAUCCAUACGGCCAUGUAAACACGGGGAGUGCAUGCUUUCUGGUGCUCAUACUUGGAUUUUGACCACCGUACAUGGUACCAAGAAGCACGGUGUGCAGCCACCACACAUACAGAGAUGCCCGACGCUGAAGAGGUGGGCCCCACCCAUUAAGGACCGGGGUGACAUACGCGGCCACAGUGCCGGCGGUCGGUCCUCGGGGAACGGCUUCCCCAGUGACAGCUAGCCUAGCCUGAGGCAGGACAUCCCGUCUCAGGCAUUCCCCCCCCAUCUGGCGUUUGUAACCCCUCAAAACUUUGUACUCAGGUUUCAGACACUUCAACUGUUGCGCCUGUCACCCAAUAGUUCCAACCUUCCUUGUUAAACAGUGGCCGCAUUUAGUCUCUAUGUAUAUAUAUAUAACUGAAGAGGGACCAGAGAGACGAGGAGCGGGCGAGAGGAACAGAGCGAGAGCAAUUGGAGUGCUUUGUUUUCGGACUCUUGAAAAAAAGGUUAACUAACAAUUUCCAUUGCAGAGUAUACAAAUAAAUACACCAGAGCGUCAAUGAAGAGAGAGAGAGAGAGAGAGAGGAGGGUUUUUGUGUCAAUUUAAAUGAAGGCUAAAAAGGUGAUAUGGGCUGAAAGGGGGGUAUUUUUGACAAUCAGCAGGCAUCUUUUUACAUGGAGGGUGGGAGGGAGGUAAUUAAAGAAGGGGGCAGGCACCCAUGUUAGCGGCUGUCCCGUUCUGCAUCGCUUCGCAGGACGGAUGUAACAACAGUACAGGUGUUGUAUUUUAGUCAUCUGGGUAAAAGAAAGAGGGGGGCG